GAUGAACGCUGGCGGCGUGCCUAAUACAUGCAAGUCGAGCGAGCGGCGGACGGGUGAGUAAUGUCUGGGAAACUGCCUGAUGGAGGGGGAUAACUACUGGAAACGGUAGCUAAUACCGCAUACCAUCAGAUGUGCCCAGAUGGGAUUAGCGAGUAGGUGGGGUAAUGGCUCACCUAGGCGACGAUCCCUAGCUGGUGUGAGAGGAUGACCAGCCACACUGGAACUGGUACACGGUCCAUACUCCUACGGGAGGCAGCAGUGGGGAAUCUUGCACAAUGGGCGCCAGCCUGAUGCAGCCAUGCCGCGUGUAUGAAGAAGGCCUUCGGGUUGUAAAGUACUUUCAGCGGGGAGGCGUUACCCGCAGAAGAAGCACCGGCUAACUCCGUGCCAGCAGCCGCGGUAAUAC
rnacentral:rRNA from 1 species